CAGUCGCCACGGGAAUACGGAGGGUGCGAGCGUUGUCCGGAUUUAUUGGGUUUAAAGGGUGCGUAGGUGGCUUUUUAAGUCAGUGGUGAAAUACGGUUGCUCAACAAUCGAGGUGCCAUUGAUACUGAAGAGCUUGAAAUAAUUGGAGGCUGCCGGAAUGGAUGGUGUAGCGGUGAAAUGCAUAGAUAUCAUCCAGAACACCGAUUGCGAAGGCAGGUGGCUACGAUUUGUUUGACACUGAGGCACGAAAGCAUGGGGAGCAAACAGGAUUAGAUACCCGCGUAGUCCCUGUCUCUUAUAC
rnacentral:rRNA from 1 species